UCGCUUCAGCAGCACAUAUACUAAAAUUGGUAGAUACAGAGAUUAGCAUGCCCCUGCACAAGGAUGACACGCAAAUUCAUGAAGCAUUCCAUAUAUAU
ensembl:snRNA U6 U6 spliceosomal RNA